rnacentral:rRNA from 1 species
GACGUAGGGCGCGAGCGUUGUCCGGAUUUAUUGGGCGUAAAGAGCUCGUAGGCGGCUUGUCGCGUCGAUCGUGAAAACUUGGGGCUUAACCCUGAGCUUGCGGUCGAUACGGGCAUGACUGGAGUUCGGCAGGGGAGACUGGAAUUCCUGGUGUAGCGGUGAAAUGCGCAGAUAUCAGGAGGAACACCGGUGGCGAAGGCGGGUCUCUGGGCCGAUACUGACGCUGAGGAGCGAAAGCGUGGGGAGCGAACAGG